UCCAUUAGGACUUGACCCUGCCUAAUAACGAAGAACAUAUAUACAUAUGACCAAGCAACCAAAUAGACCUUUGGUCUUUUAGCUUCAGCAAACAAGGGUUCUAUGGAAACCCUAGGCGCCGCCAAGGGGCGAUUUGCCUCUCUCAUGCGUCACCACGCCAUUUUUGGCAAAAGGGCAGGUGUGCGAUGCUUUUCUCAGUCCUUGCAUAGCCGGAUCGAGCAAAUCAUUAAUGCUCGUUCUCUUUCAUUCAAAACUACAACCAAACAAGGCUUGAGGAGCAAAGAAAUCUCCAAGUUCUAUUCUCGACCAAGGCUGCACUCAAAAGAGCCACUUGGGCCAUCUUCUGUUGAACAAAAUUGUUGGGCCAUUCUUUCUUGAUCGAGUCCGAGGAAAAUAUGAAAGGGAAGAUAAUAUAUUGAAGGCCCAACCAUGGGUGAAAAUUGUCAAUGAAGAACUAACAAUUGGUGAAAAUUGUCAAUAGUUAUGUAGAUGGGUUUGGUAAACCCAUCAACCAUUUCCUCUCUUCUUUUUCAUAUGCUAUAUGUAUGUGUAAAACAUACUUGUGAAAUAUCGAAACUUUUAUGAAUGCUUAGAACUUAGGAAAACGUUAGUAUUAUUAGGAAGUCGCUCAAA